UACGAAGGGAGCUAGCGUUGUUCGGAAUCACUGGGCGUAAAGCGCACGUAGGCGGAUGUGUCAGUCAGGGGUGAAAUCCCGGAGCUCAACUUCGGAACUGCCUUUGAUACAGCACAUCUGGAGUCCGGAAGAGGUGGGUGGAAUUCCUAGUGUAGAGGUGAAGUUCGUAGAUAUUAGGAAGAACACCGGUGGCGAAGGCGGCCCACUGGUCCGGUACUGACGCUGAGGCGCGAAAGCGUGGGGAGCAAACAGG
rnacentral:rRNA from 1 species